GACGAACGCUGGCGGCGUGCCUAAUACAUGCAAGUAGAACGCACAGUUUAUACCGUAGCUUGCUACACCAUAGACUGUGAGUUGCGAACGGGUGAGUAACGCGUAGGUAACCUGCCUGGUAGCGGGGGAUAACUAUUGGAAACGAUAGCUAAUACCGCAUAAUAUUGAUUAUUGCAUGAUAAUUGAUUGAAAGAUGCUAUUGCAUCACUACCAGAUGGACCUGCGUUGUAUUAGCUAGUAGGUUAGGUAACGGCUCACCUAGGCGACGAUACAUAGCCGACCUGAGAGGGUGAUCGGCCACACUGGGACUGAGACACGGCCCAGACUCCUACGGGAGGCAGCAGUAGGGAAUCUUCGGCAAUGGACGAAAGUCUGACCGAGCAACGCCGCGUGAGUGAAGAAGGUUUUCGGAUCGUAAAGCUCUGUUGUAAGAGAAGAACGGGUGUGAGAGUGGAAAGUUCACACUGUGACGGUAUCUUACCAGAAAGGGACGGCUAACGACGUG
rnacentral:rRNA from 1 species